rnacentral:rRNA from 1 species
UAAACUUUUUUAACCUAUCCUUAGAAAUUAAUAUCUGCAUCAAAAAGUGCAGCUUGGUUGAAGGGACGAUAAGACCCUAUAAAGCUUUAUCAUUUUCUCUAAAAGUUUUGAAUCAAAAAAUAGAGGGGGGUGAUUGAACUGGGGCGGUAUCUAAUACUCUUUAGAAAAGAUAACACGUAAAGUGAAAAGCUUUAUCCUAAAUGGAAUAAAAGUUACUUUAGGGAUAACAGCGCAAUUUCUUAAGGUGGUAACAUUUUAUGAAGACUUGCGACCUCUAUGUUGAAUUGAGGGGCCAGGCUCCUUUUUGAAGUCUUG